rnacentral:lncRNA from 1 species
AAGUGCUUAUUUAGUACCUUUUACCAUUUCAAAUACUUAGACUAUCUGAGGCCAAGUGGGAGAGAUUAAGCUCUAUGCUGUAAACAGUUAAGGAUUCAAUUUAUCAGCAUUUAACAGUUCCACAUUAUUUUCCACCUCCAACAUACAUGAUUAUACCAAUAUUAACACACCAGCAAUAAAAUAACCAUAAAAUGGGAGGCAUGGGUGAAGAAGGAAUUGUGGUGAAAAUAUCUUCAUAUAAUAAAUUAUAACUAUAAUCUGUAUUAUCUAUUUUGACAGAAAUAAUUCUCCCACUACUAUGCCAGAAGUUACGUAUGAUGGUGCUGGAUAUUUACAGUUAUCAGAAGAGUAUCUACUUCUAUCUUAUCUAUAGUUGAUGGUAGUUUUAUAAUUUUGCAUACUUUGUGCAUGUUCCAGUGAAAACUCCAAAAAACCAUAAAGAAUUUAUCUAGACCAUGGGCUUUAGUCAUACUUUAAAUAAACCUUUAAUAUAA